rnacentral:rRNA from 1 species
AUUGAACGCUGGCGGCAGGCUUCACACAUGCAAGUCGAGCGAGCGGCGGACGGGUGAGUAAUGUCUGGGAAACUGCCUGAUGGAGGGGGAUAACUACUGGAAACGGUAGCUAAUACCGCAUACCAUCAGAUGUGCCCAGAUGGGAUUAUAUCGUCGGUUGGGUAAUGGCUCACCUAGUCGACGAUCCCUAGCUGGUCUGAGAGGAUGACCAGCCACACUGGAACGUAGACACGUUCCAGACUCCUACGGGAGGCAGCAUGGGGGAAUAUUGCACAAUGGGCGCAAUCCUGAUGCAGCCAUGCCGCGUGUGUGAAGAAGGCCUUCGGGUUGUAAAGCACUUUCAGCGAGGAGGCGUUACUCGCAGAAGAAGCACCGGCUAACUCCGUGCCAGCAGCCGCGGUAAUUC